GCGGCUCUACUCCAACGGGCAGAGAGGCCACUUUCAGGAAGUGGAUGCUCCGGGUUCGAAUCCCGGGAGCCGCA
rnacentral:tRNA from 1 species